UGAGGAAUAUUGGUCAAUGGGCGGGAGCCUGAACCAGCCAAGCCGCGUGAAGGAAGAAGGCGCCAGGCGUCGUAAACUUCUUUUGUCGGGGAACAAAGGGCGCCACGCGUGGCGUUGUGAGUGUACCCGAAAGAAAAAGCAUCGGCUAACUCCGUGCC
rnacentral:rRNA from 1 species